CGACUGUCAAUCCAAAUAGAUAACAGAACAAUACGCCGCCGUAUAUGUUCCUGUACCGAAACGCCGUGUUUUAGCACUAUUUUCGUGCCAUCGUCUUUUGCUCUUCUGAUUUCCGUAGCAGAUUUUGGGUUUAAACCUUAAACCCUAAACCUCCAUUGCCCUGCGCUUCAAGAUUGGCCGAUAUUUGGAAGGCAAAGAGCAUACACGGUGAUAGAUUGGGCAUGCAUUUGUGAAGAUGCUCCUAAGACAACAAGUUGCAGGGAUACGACAUGGCUUUCAUUUGAACAUUUACACAUUUUCGAAAAGGUUUUCAUCCUUGUCAAAUGAGCCUCCGUCUGAAGAGAAAGUUGUGUCUUCGAUUGAUGUGAGACAAGUAGUUGAUGAUGUGUGCCGAGUCUUGGAGCGUGGUCCUUGGGGACCCCCCCUUGAGAAUGCUCUAUCGGCGCUUGACAAAACGCCUCAAUCAGAAUCAGUUAUUGGAGUUUUAAGGAGGUUGAAAGAUGUCAGUUUAGCACUUAAUUAUUUUCGGUGGUGUGAGAAACAAACUGACCAAGCACACUGUCCCGAAGCAUACAAUUCACUUCUCAUGGUCAUGGCCAGGAGUAGAAAUCUUAAUUAUUUGGAACAGGUCCUGGAAGAAAUGAGUGUAGCAGGAAUUGGCCCAUUUAAUACCACAUGUAUUGAGUUAGUUGUGAGCUGUAUCAGGUCACAGAAGCUGAAAGAUGGUUUCAAUCUACUGCAAACAAUGAGGAAGUUCAAAUUCCGCCCAGCAUUUUCAGCCUAUACAACUCUUAUCGGGGCUUUGUCUACAGUUCCUGAAUCUGAUCUCAUGCUGACUCUCUUUCAUCAAAUGCAGGAGCUAGGUUAUGAAGUUACUGUGCAUUUAUUUACAACUAUUAUUCGUGUAUUUGCCAAGGAAGGACGAGUUGAUGCUGCCCUCUCCUUGUUGGAUGAGAUGAAGAGCAACUCUUUUAGUGCAGAUGUUGUGCUUUAUAAUGUCUGUAUAGAUUGCUUUGGCAAGGUCGGUAAGGUGGAUAUGGCCUGGAAAUUCUUUCAUGAAAUGAGAAUGCAUGGCUUGGUGCCUGAUGAUGUGACGUAUACUAGCAUGAUAGGAGUUCUCUGCCAAGCUGCGAGACUAGACGAAGCGGUGGAGCUAUUUGAGGAGAUGGACAGACAUAGGAAAGUGCCUUGUGUGUAUGCGUAUAACACCAUGAUCAUGGGCUAUGGCUCUGCUGGAAGGUUUGAGGAAGCAUACAGCUUGUUUGAGAGGCAAAGAAGAAAGGGGUGCAUUCCGAGUGUGAUUGCAUAUAAUUGUGUUCUCACCUGCCUAGGGAAGAAGAGACGAGCAGUAGAAGCGUUAAGGGUUUUUGAUGAGAUGAAGAAAGAUGCAGCUCCCAAUCUUCCAACUUAUAACAUUCUAAUAGACAUGCUUUGUAAGGCUGGUAACCUCAAGGAUGCUCUGCAGGUUCGGGAUGCCAUGAAAGAAGCUGGCUUAUAUCCUAAUGUUAUGACUGUAAACAUAAUGAUUGAUCGACUCUGUAAAGCUCAAAAACUUGAUGAUGCUAGUUCUAUAUUUGAAGGAAUGGAUCACAAAGUCUGCACACCAGAUGCAGUUACAUUUUGUUCUCUUAUAGAUGGCUUGGGAAAACAAGGAAGAGUAGAUGAUGCCUAUAGGCUUUAUGAAAAGAUGCUGGACGCUGAUCAGACUCCAAAUGCCAUUGUAUACACAUCCCUCAUCAGGAACUUCUUCAAAUGUGGCAGGAAGGAGGAUGGUCACAAAAUAUACAAAGAAAUGCAGCGUAGGGGCUGUUCUCCUGAUCUCAUGCUUCUUAAUACCUAUAUGGAUUGUGUUUUAAAGGCCGGAGAAAUUGAAAAGGGUAGAUCUUUGUUUGGGGAGAUUAAGACUCAAGGAUUCAUUCCUGAUGUGCGAAGUUAUUCAAUCUUAAUUCAUGGCCUUGUAAAAGGAGGUUUUGCACAUCAAACAUAUGAAUUAUACUAUGCAAUGAAGGAUCAAGGCUGUGUAUUGGACACCCGUGCUUACAACGCCAUCAUUGAUGGAUUCUGCAAAAGUGGAAAGGUGAAUAAAGCAUACCAGCUUCUGGAGGAAAUGAAAACUAAGGGUCACCAACCCACCGUCGUUACUUAUGGUUCUGUCAUUGAUGGUCUUGCCAAGAUUGACAGGCUUGAUGAAGCAUACAUGCUUUUUGAAGAAGCAAAGUCAAAAGGAGUAGAACUGAAUGUAAUCAUUUAUAGUAGUCUUGUUGAUGGGUUUGGGAAGGUAGGUAGAAUAGAUGAAGCAUAUCUAGUCAUGGAAGAGUUGAUGCAGAAAGGUUUGUCACCUAACGUUUACACAUAUAAUUGCUUGCUUGAUGGACUUGUGAAAGCUGGUGAAAUUGAUGAAGCAAUUGUCUGCUUUCAAUCGAUGAAAGAUAUGAAAUGUACACCCAACCAUGUAACGUAUAGCAUUCUCAUAAAUGGUCUUUGUAGGGUUAGAAAAUUCAAUAAGGCUUUUGUAUACUGGCAAGAGAUGAAGAAACAAGGGUUAAACCCUAAUACAAUCACCUACACUACCAUGAUCUCUGGACUUGCAAGGGCUGGGAACAUAAGGGAUGCUAGUGGGCUUUUUGAGAAGUUUAAGGCCAGUGGUGGCAUUCCCGAUUCUGCUUGUUAUAAUGCUAUGAUAGAAGGGUUGAGCAAUGCAGAAAGGGCAAUGGACGCAUAUACACUUUUUGAGGAAACUCGGCGGAAAGGUUGUAAUAUUCAUUCCAAGACAUGUGUUGUUCUGUUGGAUGCCUUGCACAAGGCUGAAUGCCUUGAGCAGGCAGGAAUUGUUGGUGCUGUUCUUCGAGAAACUGCAAAGUCUCAACAUGCGUCAAGAUCAUGGUAAAGUCGUGUGUCAUGCAAUUUACUGGAGGGAUUUAGAUGUGUCGUACUCAGUGAGUGGUGACACACAACUGACACAAGGUGCCUUCUCGUUCAUUCACGUUGACAGAGAAAAUAUUGGGAAACGAGAGAUUUUUUUCCUGAAAGGUCUUCGUCUCAUCAAUUUCUUAACAAGAUUGAAGGCACUCUGUGGAGGUAUAGAGUAUCAAAUAUGCAGGAUGUCGAAGAAACCGAGUUAUAAUUGUAGCAUUAACUUCAGUAGCAGUUAUUCAGGAGCAUGAGUUUAGCUUCGAGAACCAUCGAUGCUUUAAUAUAGUGUUUUGCCAAUUGUUCAGGUUACCUGGUUCAGUUGAGAAUUGCAGAUGUGUGUUGGGAGUUGAUGACCCUCACUGGUGGACGCCCGCCUCCCCAGCCAUGAGAGGACCUUUAUCGUUUGUUACAGUAGAUGAAAUCAAACUUUUGACCUAGAGAGCAAAUUUUUGUGCUGUAUGGCGAAUUGCCUGUGUUGAAUAUGGUUGUUGGGCGCGCAUACUGGUGAAUAACCACACAUUUUCCCUUCA